rnacentral:rRNA from 1 species
GACGAACGCUGGCGGCGUGCUUAACACAUGCAAGUCGAACGGAAAGGCCCUGCUUUUGUGGGGUGCUCGAGUGGCGAACGGGUGAGUAACACGUGAGUAACCUGCCCUUGACUUUGGGAUAACUUCAGGAAACUGGGGCUAAUACCGGAUAGGAGCUCCUGCUGCAUGGUGGGGGUUGGAAAGUUUCGGCGGUUGGGGAUGGACUCGCGGCUUAUCAGCUUGUUGGUGGGGUAGUGGCUUACCAAGGCUUUGACGGGUAGCCGGCCUGAGAGGGUGACCGGCCCACUUUGGUCUGGAGUGAGCGCCCAGCCUCGUCGGGGGGGCAGAGGGGGGGAUUUUGAAAAAGGGGGGGAAACCGUGGGCCACCACCCCCGCGGGGGGGAUGCGGGCUUUGGGUUUGAAACCCCUUUCCCCCUGUAACAAGGCUGGGUGGAGGGAAUUGGAUAAAAAAGCCCCGGCUAACUACGCG